UUUUUUUGGGUACACGUUAAGCUUGUUCUUUUGAAAUUUCAAGCCGCGCCUUGUUAUGCCGAAAAUUGAAGCUAGCGUCUCUGUCUAUCGUGCUGCGAAACUCCCGCCUCUUCAACCCGCGCCUUGUUAGCCUGAAAUAUUUAAGAUAUAUCUUUGUCUCGUUGUGCUCCGACAACUCCCCCCAUCUCAACCCGCGCCUUGCUAUUCCGAAAUUACAACGCGCGCAAAAACUCCCACCUCCUGUGAAAUCCUGACACGCGAAAUGCCCAUGGUACCCCUGAACCGAAAGAACUGCCUCAAAUCGGUGGGGGGUACUUUCGUAACUUACCCCACAUUUCGGACAAGCGCGUCUCUAAGCCAUGGUUCCCCACUGACAUCCCAUCCGCCCACCCAUUCAUACACCGAGGCCGCGAAAACCCGCGACGAAACCCCACACCCUGCUCCGUCCGCCACCCAGCCGGAGCUUCUUCCCCGACGACGUCGUCCACAGCAACACCUCGAUGUCCCUCAUCCACCAUACCGGAUGAGGAUCCACCGUCGAUCUCAUCGUCCCGCCGGUUCAGCCACCCCGUCCUCCACCUCCAAGGAGCUGCCCUGACGUUCCCCUCGUCUUCGCGCCACCUCCAUUCCCACACCGCCGUCUUCACCUGCACCAUCGGAAGAGCAUCAUCAUCACUGUUUCCUCGGAUGAAGCUGCGGCCUAAUCGGCGCCACCAAAGAGGUUGUACACUAAUCGCCGCAUUUUGUUCUUGAUUCGAUCUCACGGUGCUGCCGGCGCUCGGUCCCGAGCCGACACGGCGCGGCUCCAUCCACGGCGGCGUCGUCGGCCACUUCCUCCACGGCGUCGCUCCCUCGGUGGCGACGUCCACAUCAGUAGGAGCUGCUGCUGCUUUAGCUCUUGCUCGCGCUGCUGCUCUGCUCUUGCUCUCGGUCCCCUGCCUGGUCUGCUCUUGCUAUUGCUCUUGCUAUUGCUCUUGCUCGUGCUGCUGCUCUCGCUCUUGCUCUUGCUUGCGAUGCUGCUCCGAUUUGGCUACACUUCAGUCGACUGAAUCAACUUUUGGGUUAGUUGAUUUCCAAGGGGUGGGCUUGCCGGGGUGAAGGAAGAACCAGCCGUAGCGGGGAGGGGGGCUCGCCGGAGAGGUACCCCACUAUCUAUCUUAGGGUUCAGGAUGGGGGCAGUGGUCGUCGGCGGUGGCGGGUCGUUGGCGGGGCGGUGGCGUGGGGAUCGUCGGAGAAAAAGCUCGGCACGGGGGGGCCUAGAGGGAUGGCCGGGGCGGCGGCGGACCGGCAGUGGGGAGUGUUUUCGAGGGGGGCGGGGCGGCACACCACCGGCCGCGGGCGGCGGGGGGCUGCUGUUUGGCCGGUGGUGGCUGGCGGCUCAGGGGGGGUGGAGGUUGAAGAUGAACCACAGGCCCUUGAUUUCAUAUCCAACGGCUGCAAAAUCGACUGACGUGUAGCCUCACCUUGCUAGUGCGUUCAGUUUCGACAGCAAAAUUCAGUUUCGACAGCAAAAUUCAGUUUCGACAGUUAGGUUCAGUUUUGACAGUUAAGUUCAGUUUCGACAGUUAAGUUCAAAGAUGAGCGGCUGAUGUAUUUUACAUCUAGCACUUUGUGGUUAUGUAUUUUACGUCAUGUAUUGGAGAUGCUAUUAGAAUUCCACUCAGGUUAACGUUGUUCGUUGUCUCUCUUGUCCUGCUUCAGCCUCGGCGUCGAACAACUCACCGGAGCUGCUCCAAUGAUGAAACCCUCCAUCACAGCGGAGCAGUACCUCGGGCUCCAUCUCCAGACGCCUAAGAUCUUCUUCCCCUCCUCCAACAGCAAAGUCAGCUGGAGCAUCCUCACCGGCCAACCCAAUCACGAUGAGAUCGACAUGGCUUUGCCAAAGAGGUUGUACACUUGUUGCAUCUCUUUUUUACUCUACAUGUUAUAUAUAUUAUCCACUGAGCACUCGUAGUAACGGGAAAUAUGAUUAUUUUAUCCUACUAUAUGACAAGCAGUGAGGUACCAGGAAACUUAGCUAUCCGUGAUGGACUCUCUUGAACGCCAUCAUUAUUUAUCUAUGCGCGUUUGAGCUGUGCAUUUGUCGAUGGGCCUGGGAGUUGAGCUAGUAUGGCAGUGGCCUGGGUCCAAAGUAAUAGAAGUAGCACAAAAACAUUUUUUUAGUGUAGGAUUUUCCUUGCUCAAGCCUACCUACUAGAAUCACCGGUGCUUGAAAGGAAAAGUGAAUGAAAAACAUAGGAAUUGGAAAGUUUCCUAUGGUACUACUUUUCAUGAAUUUGGUGCAAAGGAAUGGAGCAAAGGAAAACUGUAGGAUUUGUUCCUUUAGUGUCUCCUUGAAAGAAAAACCGUAGGAAUUCUAAUUUCCACUUCUCCUCCUUUUCAUAUUCCUAUUCAUCAAGCACAAGACUAAGAGAUAGUAGCAUAAUAGCAUUAUAACCAUACAUUUUCUUGUGGUUUGACUUAAUCUCACCAUGCUUUUUUGCAUCCUAUGAUCUUCCAAUUGUUGUGAAUCAAACACCCAGAUUGGCAGAAAUCCUGUGUUUUUAAAUUCUUUGUUUUGCAUGUGCAUUCCUAUCCUAUUCCUGUCUAUUUCCUAUCCCUGCAUUGUUAGAAUCCUCAAAUUCAAACAAGCCCUUACUCAAUUACUUCUGUUACAGAUAUGUGUCAAAGAAAACCUUGUGUGGUUUGUCCUGCUCCUGCGGCGCUGUGUUCCACCCCAGCUCAGCUGCUCCAAUGAUGGAAGGGUUCACCACAGCAGGGAUCCGCUCUCCAGACUGUCUUUCGCCGCCUCAGAUCUUCUUCCCCACCGCCGGCAGCCACGACAACUGCAUUACCAUCAUCAACUGAGCAGAUGACCUUGAGGACUACACGGGUCCGCAAGAGAGGUCGCACUCUUCCGUGUCUGCUUACGUUAUGCGUCGCUUAAUAUGAUGACAUGCUACAUUAUCAUCAUGUUCACCUAUUAGACUCCGAGUCAGGUCCAAAUUAAUGCUGAAACUUGAGUUUUUAAAUGGUUGUGGGGUACAUAUCGGGGUAGCAAUCAGUACUAUCUGUCUACUAUCUGGUUAAUCUCCGGUGUCUACUAUGUGUUUCAUGUUGGGUGCAAACAAACAUUAAAGGAGCCAUUAUCUGUAUUUUUUAACUAAAGCUAUUAUCUGCCUGCUAUCAUUGGUUUUGGGUCUAUCCACAGUUUGCUACCAUCACUCUGGAUUUGUGCAUGCACUCCUUACAUAAUCUCACUAUGUUUUAUUCCUAUGCAUGCCAGUUAUUGUACACAAUGGAACUGAUCAUGUAGAGCAAUAGAGAUGAGCCUUGUGUGGCAAUAAAAUUUCAUGCAGACAUCGUUCCAUGGUGGGCGCUAAGGCAGCCCCCCUCCACCCAUUUCGGAUCGUGAUCAAGAGGAAGAUAACUAUUCUGAGGGGGAUUCAGAAGGAGAAGACCACUCCUAUUUACCCCAUGAGGUCUUCGCUCUAACUUGGCAUGCUGAUGUUGGUAAUAUCAUGCAUAUGGUGCCUUGCAUUGCUUACUGUAUACAUUAAAGAUAUCAUCUGCUUAGUUUAGACAUGCUUUGUGUCAAUGCCAUCUGUUUUGUUUCUUUAUCAUAUAUGUGAAUCAUGCAAUGCCAUCUUGUCUAGCCAGGCAUCAUAUAUGUGAAUUUUGCAAUGCCACCCUGGUUAGCCAGUCAUCUUAUAUGUGAAUUAUAUCAUGCCAUCAUUUUUUUUAUUAUGUGUUAAAUUUGUCAACAAUUUUAGUACAUUCAAUUACUCUUCCUGUGCAUCAGCCAUUCGGCACGGUCAUGGAAAAAUCUGGAGUGGAAACAAGGUCUUCAGAGCAGACAAUGCUAUCUGAUGAAGCGCAUGUCUUGCUGGUUACCGAUAGCUCCUCAGAGGAGGAUUCAGAGACAGAUGACCAGUCAUAUUUCCCCCCUGAGGUGCAUGCCCUAACUUGGCAGGGUUAUGUUACUCAUAUCGUGCGUAUGGUAUCUUGCAUUGCUAUGUCAUUUGCUUAGUUUAGACAUGCUUUGUGUGAAUGCCACCUAUUUAGUGUCUAAUUACCAUAUAUGUGAAUUAUGCAAUGCCAUCUUGUUGCAAGACAUUAUAUAUGUGAAUUAUGCAACGUUAUCUUGUUGCAAGGCAUUAUGUAUGUGAAUUAUGCAAUGCCAUGUUGUUUAGGCAAGCGUCAUAUAUGUGAAUUAUAUCAUGCCGUCCUUUUUUUGUAUUUCUCAUUGCUUUUGUUGACAAUGUUUGUAUAUUCAACCAAUGUUGGGGAUAUCGCUUAUCGGGAACUUAUCGGCCAACCCAUGAUAAGGGGUAAAUCGGCCAGUUUAUCGGCAUAUCGGCCAAUUUAUCGCCAUAUCGGCUGAUUUAUCGGCCAAAUUAUCUUAUCGGUCAGACAACGGUAAGCGAUAAAUCGGCCGAUUUAUCGGAAUAUCGGAAGAUAUCUUGAACAGUGUAUUCAACUGAUCUUCCUAUGCAUCAGCCAUUUGAAUUGGUGAUGGAGAAAUCUGGAGUGAAAACAAGGUCUUCAGAGCAGACAAUGCUACCUGUUGAAGCAGAUAUCUUGCUGGUUUCAGAUAGCUCUUCAGAGGAGGAUUCAGAGGCAGAUGACUAGUCCUAUUAUCCCCCUGAGGUGUAUGCUCAAACUUGGCAAGGUUAUAUUACUCAUAUAAUGCAUAUAUUGUAUUGCAAUGCUUAUUUUUUACAUCAUAUACACAAUAUUGAAUGCCAUCUCCUUAGUUGACACAUCAUAUUGCAAUUGCCCUCUGCUCACUUCCUUAGUAUAUAAAUCAUAUAUUUGAAUUAUGUCAUGCCAUGAUGUUUACAUAGACAGCAUGUAUCUGAAUUAUGGCAUGCCAACCCAUUUUCUAAAGACAUAAUAUAGUUAUAUCAUCUCAUCCUAUUUACAUAGCCAUCAUAUUUUAAAUUAUGUCAUUCUAUCCGUGAAUUAUAUCAUGCCAUCAUGUUUCCAUCGACGGCAUGUUUGUGAUUUAUGGCAUGCCAACCACUUUAAUAGACACAUCGUAUAGUUAUAUCAUGUCAUCAUGUUUACAUAGUCAUCAUAUUUUGAAGUAUGUCAUUCUAUCAUGUUUAGUUAGCCAUCAUACAUGUGAAAUUGUGUCAUGCUAUCUUGUUUAAUUAGCCAUCAUAUAUGUCAAAUUAUGUCCUGCUAUUCUAUUUUCUUAGACAACAUAAAUGUGAAUUAUUUCAUGCCCUGUUUUCUUCCCUACUAUCCAUUGCACCUGUCUAUCUUACAAUGUCUGUACAUUCAAUUACUUUUCUUGUUUAUCAGCCAUUUCAAUUGGAGGGAGUGAUGGCAGUAUCUGUGGGAGUAAAAACACGGUCUUCAGAAAAGAUCGUGCUACCUGUCGAUGCAGAUAGAACCACGGUUGUACUUGCCCAAGAAUCAGCCCCACCACACAUAACCCACACUCAUGCAGAUUGUACCCCUACCCAGUUGGACAGAGAACCAGCUACACCCCUUCUAACCCCAACCCCAGCAGAUAGACACCCAGUUCCCGUUGACACAGCACCAUCUCCACCAUAGAGCACCCAAACACGAGCAGUUAGUAAGGCAACUGCAGUGCCCAAAUCACAAGGACCACCACUCUGAACCCGAAGUCAACGCUUAAAGCAGAAGAAGAAUUGUUCUCAGGUCAAGUUCCGUAGCUAUGGUUCAUACUACUUGCUCUUGCAUCACUGUAUUUACUAAUACCAACCAAUUUCAAAUUUGAAGGAUGCAAUUGAAACUCCAAUGGCGCAACAGGUAUGUUUUAAACCUGUUUCUUCAACGUGUUUGGCUGUUUGCUGUUGUAACUUGCUCUAUGUUGAUUUCAGUUUCAAUUGAAUAAACAGUUAUGUUCUCAUGCCAUGCACAUUACAAGUGUUGUUAUUGCUGUGUAGUUUCCCACACUUAUAUUCUAUCUAUGCUGCUUUGUCUUAAAUAGAUAUGAUUCGAACUGUAUCUAUCUUGAUUUGGCAACAUAAACUAGAAUGAUAUAGACCAUACAGUGACCAUACUACAUAGAUAUAUGUUUGUUUCAUGUUGUUAUCCUGUCCACCUUACUACUGAACUGGUUUACCAAAAUGAGUUUCAUAUACUACAUUGUAAACCUGAGAUGUGUUUGUUUGUUUCCCUUUUAGAACGCGGAUAAAAUAUUGGAGAAGAGUACCCUGUUAUGCAAUGGUAAAGGAAGUAAUGCAGAUAAGGUUCAAGAUAGUGAGACAUCCAAGUUGGUCUCCAAGAAAGCUGAUAAAAACUAUACUGAGGACACUGAGACAACCCCAAAGUCCUGUCUUGAUGUAGUGUUCGAGUUACUGGCUACCACUGCUGGCACCAGCUCUUCGAACUCGUUGCCUGAAUCAGUUCGGCUUCUUGAGUCUCAACUUCAAGUUGAAAGACAUCGAUCAGAUGUUAUGCGACAGGAAGCCGAAGGACUGAGGAAGUCCCUGCAAAAUUCAGAUGCAUACUUUCUGGUGCAACAGCAGGCGUUGGAGGACUUAAGCACCAAACAAGAGAAAGUUAAUAAGCUUGCUAAGCAUCUUGCCAGCAUUAUGGGUACCCAGGAUAUUGUUUCUUGAGCUCUUCUGAAGUGGUUUCAGUUCUGGACUUGUUUUGCUGCGGCGUUUAUAUGCUGCUGUGUUCCCUAUAUUUGCACUGGUGGCAAACUUUGAUGCCCAGUGGAUGUAAUAUGUGUAAUAGCCGUGAUAGCCUAGUGUAAGUUGCUUGCUUAUUUAUUUCCUUGUUUUCUUAUUUAUUUGUUUGCUUGUAGUCAAUGCAGUUCUUUUUCUGCGGUUUGCUAGUGGCUGCAACAACCUAUUUUUUAAAACUAGGCCACAAUGACCAUGGGCUAAUAUUUACUGUAGUGACACUGCACCUACGGGCCGUAGAAACAGUGGGCCUUCUACGGGCCGUAUAAAUAGUGGGCCUUCCACGGGCCGUAGAAACAAUGGGCCUUCUACGGGCCGUAUCAUCAAUGGGCCUUAUACGGGCAGUAUGAUCGAUUGGCCAAACAUGGGCCAAUAACAGGCCGUAUUAUGGCCGUAAACGGGCUAGAGUUGGAAUCGUCCGUUCAUGGGCCGAGCAUAACGGGCCAUCGUUAAUAGGUUGUAUUUCAUGACGCUGUGAAAACAGCCCAACAUGUUAACGGACCACAAAUGGGCCAACUGUAACCAUGGGCUGAAUUUGGCCCAUAAGCAGAAAAUGACAGUAAUGGGCCGUAAGUAAACGAAUGCUGGAAAUGAGCCCAAGAAUAAAUGGGCUCUGAGAAGGCCGAAAGAUAACAUGGGCUGGAAAUGGCCCAACGGAAUAACGGGCCCUUAAUGGGUAUAAAGUGAUACACUGUUCAUUACGGGCCAGUUUCACCAUGGGCCGUUAAUGGGUGUAAAGUAAUACACUGUUCAUUACGGGCCAGUUUCACCAGGGGCCGUUAAUAGGCCAAGAGUUACAUAGGGCCUCGUAUGGGCCGAAAGACGUCAUGGGCCAUACAUGGGCCAGAAGUGAAAACAGGCUGGAAUCAUAUUGGGUGGCCCAGAUGACGCUACUGGGCCUAAUUCGGAUAUGGCGUAACGGGCCUUGGGUUAGCGGGCUAUAAAUGGGCCAUAUGCGAAUAGGCCGUUAACAGGCUUUACAUGGGCCGGCCCGCCACCUUUUGACCAAGUCAAAUGGGCCGGCCUUUUCACAGGAAUGGGCCUCUGUUGGGCCGUGCCACAUGUCGACGUAUCAUAGGCGCCUUCUGUCCAAUGAGUGGAUGAAAUCUGUCCCAACGGUGAGCCGACACGUGUUUCCUCUAGCCAAUGAUGAUUUUACAUGUGGAAAAUCCCCAUUGGUCGGGGCUGUUAACAGGUUAUCGGAUCCAAAACCCGACCCGAUAGCUUAACGGCGUUCCGUUACGGUGGAUGCCACGUGUCGGUCACCCUUGACGAAAGCACUUCUGUGACGCACGAUUUAUCGUCAUGGAAGUGGACACUUCCGUGAUGAUAAUUUUGGUAAUGUCAUGGAACACUUCUACGACAGCACAGGUAUGACUAUCUUGAUUUUGUCAUGGAUGUACAUGCAUGACAAAAAACGCGACCUACUGUGACAAACAUGUAUCAUCACGGAAGUGUAUUUUUUUGUAGUGAAGCUUUGAUCACUGCACCUAUUGUUCAGCCACCUGAUUGGAAUUUACCUUUUGAAAUUAUGUGUGAUGCUAGUGAUUAUGCUGUAGGUGCUGUUUUAGGGCAAAGAGUCGAUAAGAAAUUGAAUGUUAUCCAGUAUGCUAGUAAGACUCUUGAUACUGCCCAGAGAAAUUAUGCUACUACUGAAAAAGAGUUCUUAGCAGUUGUGUUUGCAUGUGAUAAGUUUAGACCUUAUAUUGUUGAUUCCAAAGUUACUAUUCACACUGAUCAUGCUGCUAUUAAAUAUCUUAUGGAAAAGAAAGAUACUAAGCCUAGACUCAUUAGAUGGGUUCUCUUGCUCCAAGAAUUUGACUUGCAUAUUAUUGAUAGAAAGGGAGCUGAGAACCCCGUUGCAGACAACUUGUCUAGGCUAGAGAAUGUUCUUGAUGACCCACUGCCUAUUAAUGAUAGCUUUCCUGAUGAACAAUUAGAGGUUGUCAAUGCUUCUCGUACUGCUCCUUGGUAUGCUGAUUAUGCUAAUUACAUUGUUGCUAAAUAUAUACCGCCUAGUUUGACAUACCAGCAAAAGAAAAAGUUCUUUUAUGAUUUAAGACAUUAUUUCUGGGAUGAUCCACACCUUUAUAAAGAAGGAGUAGAUGGUAUUAUUAGACGUUGUGUGCCUGAGCAUGAACAGGAACAAAUCCUACGCAAGUGUCACUCUGAAUCCUAUGGAGGACACCGCGCUGGAGAUAGAACUGCACACAAGGUACUAAAAUCUGGUUUUUAUUGGCCUACUCUUUUCAAAGAUGCUCGUAAGUUUGUCUUAUCUUGUGAUGAAUGUCAAAGAAUAGGUAACGUCAGUAGACGUCAAGAAAUGCCUAUGAAUUAUUCUCUUGUUAUUGAACUGUUUGAUGUUUGGGGCUUUGAUUAUAUGGGACCUUUCAUGCUUCCAAUGGUUAUACACAUAUUUUAGUUGCUGUUUAUUACGUUACUAAGUGGGUAGAAGCUAUUCCAACUAGUAGUGUUGAUCAUAACACUUCUACUAAAAUGCUUAAAGAAGUUAUUUUUCCGAGGUUUGGAGUCCCUAGAUAUCUUAUGACUGAUGGUGGUUCACACUUUAUUCAUGGUGCUUUCCGUAAGAUGCUCGCUAAGUAUGAUGUCAAUCAUAGAAUCGCAUCUCCUUAUCAUCCGCAGUCUAGUGGUCAAGUAGAGUUGAGCAAUAGAGAGCUCAAAUUAAUUUUGCAAAAGACUGUGAAUAGAUCUAGAAAGAAUUGGUCCAAAAAACUUGAUGAUGCAUUAUGGGCCUAUAGAAUUGCAUACAAAAAUCCUAUGGGUAUGUCUCCAUAUAAGAUGGUUUAUGGAAAAGCGUGUCAUUUACCUCUUGAACUUGAACAUAAGGCAUAUUGGGCUAUUAAAGAGCUCAAUUAUGAUUUCAAACUUGCCGGUGAGAAGAGGUUAUUUGAUAUUAGCUCACUUGAUGAAUGGAGAGCCCAAGCAUAUGAGAAUGCCAAGCUUUUCAAAGAAAAAGUCAAACGUUGGCAUGAUAAGAGGAUACAAAAGCGUGAGUUUAACGUAGGAGAUUAUGUGUUAUUGUUCAACUCUCGUUUAAGAUUUUUUGCAAGAAAACUUCUCUCAAAAUGGGAAGGUCCCUACGUUAUCGAGGAGGUCUAUCGUUCUGGUGCUAUAAAAAUCAACAACUUCGAAGGCACAAAUCCGAGGGUGGUAAACGGUCAAAGAAUUAAACAUUAUAUUUCAAGUAAUCCUAUGAAUGUUGAAACUAAUAUUAUUGAAACCAUAACCCCUGAGGAAUACAUAAGAGACACUUUCCAGAACGUUCCAGACUCCGAAAAGGCAUAGGUACGUGGUACGGUAAGUAAACCGACUCCAAAACAACUCUAAUGGCAAUUUUUAUCAGUUUUGGAUUAUUUAAAGAUUUUAGGAAGAAAGAAGUAGUCCGAAAGGGGCAUGAGGCUCCCACAAGAGAGGAGGGCGCCCCCCCCCCUGUAGGGUGCGCCCCCCUGUCUCGUGGGCACCUCGUGUGCCUCCCGGACUCUGUUUUCUUGUAUGUUACGUAUUUUGGUUGGUAAAAAUUCAUUAUAUAUACUCCCGAAGGUUUUGACCACCGUAUCACGCAAAUAUCCUUUGUUUUCGUUUCGAGUUGUUCCUGUUGCAGAGUAAAGCAAGAUGUCUUCUCAGGAGUCAGUUGGGGAGAGCCGGGUGUCUCACCCAUCGCCAGGUCCAGGAGCAAAUAGCGAUGCCUAUCACUUUGGACCAUCAAAGGAGGAUGAGAUGGAGGAUGAUUUGAAAAGGAUAGAUGCCAUGGAGGAAGAUCAAGAAGUUACCUCUCGUCUCCAAGCAUAAUUCACUAUGGGGGAACUACCUAGCCUGGCUGUCCCUGCUUCGGUCAUCCCUUCCAACUCUAGAUUUCUUUCUUAUGAAAAUAUGAAAAAGAGUCUCGUGUGUUCUCCAGAAGCUAUGCAGCAUCCUUGGGUAAAAGGAGCUUUGGCCAUUACGGGCAAGCUCCAUAAAGAAAUUAUGGACCUCAAAUAACAAGUCAAUAAGCUCGAGGAGGAGAACCGUAUCCUGAAUGGAAUCAUCGCCAAGAAGAUCAUAACACCAACUGUGAAGAAGGAGAAAUAAUCACAUGGGUAUGGGCACUCCCCUUGGCAACUGCCAAGCUUGGGGGAGGUGCCCCGGUAUCGUAUCACCAUCACACUCCUAUCUUUACCGCUUUAUUAGUUCGAUCCUUUUAGUAGUAUCUUGAUCUAGUAGUUCGAAGUUUUGAUAUCAAGUAGUUUUGAGUUUUGCUUUGUGAUCUCUUUAUGUAAUCGAGUCCGUGUGCUAUCUAUAAUAAAGAUUAGUGUUGAGUCAAGGGCUUUGCCAUGUUGCUAUGAUCUUGUGAAAGUAGAAAGAACAAAAGAGUUCAUAUUGAUCUUAUGGAUAGUGAUAACUUCACACAUAGAAAGUAUGAGGCAUAAAAAUUGUUGAGAGUUGAUGAACGUAGCCUUGGUCAUCGUUGCAAUUAAUAGGAAGUGAUAAGGAAAGAGGGUUCAUAUAUAAAUAUAUUAUCUUGGACAUCUUUUAUGAUUUUGAAGCACUCAUUAAGUAUGACAUGCUAAAAGAGUUGACGUUGGACAAGGAAGACAACGUAAUGGUUUAUGUUUUCCGACAUCUCAGUUAAAGUAUAUUGUCAUUGACCUUCCAAACAUGUUGAGCUUGCCUUUCCCCCUCAUGCUAGCCAAAUUUCUUGCACCAAGUAGAGAUACUACUUGUGCUUCCAAAUAUCCUUAAACCCAGUUUUGCCAUGAGAGUCCACCAUACCUACCUAUGGAUUGAGUAAGAUCCUUCAAGUAAGUUGUCAUCGGUGUAAGCAAUAAAAAUUGCUCUCUAAAUAUGUAUGACUUAUUAGUGCAGAGAAAAUAAGCUUUGUAUGAACUUGUUGUGGAACUAAUAAAAGCGACGGAUUGCAUAAUAAAGGUCCACAUACAAGGGGUAAUAUAAAGUGACGUUCUUUUGCACUAAGAUUUUAUGCAUCAACCCUAAACGUGCAUGACAACCUCUACUUCCCUCUGCGAAGGGCCUAUCUUUUACUUUAUGUUUUUACUUUAUGCUUGAGUCAAGGUGAUCCUCACCUUUCCCUUUUUAUUUUUAUCCUUUGGCAAGCUCCUCAUGUUUGAAAGAUCAUGAGACAUAUAUCCAAUUGAUGUAAGUUGGCAUAGGCUAUUAUUGUUGACAUCACCUAAAGGUGAAUAUGUUGGGAGGCAACAGAAUAAGCCCCUAUCUUUCUCAGUGUCCGGCUAAAACUCUAUAACCACAAGUAUUGCGUGAGUGUUAACAAUUAUAGGGGACUAUGAGAUAGUUGAGUAUGUGAGCUUGCUGAAAAGCUCUAUUAUUGACUCUUUCUAAUGUUACGAUAAAUUGCAAUUGCUUCAAUGACUGAGAUUAUAGUUUGUUAGUUCCCAAUGAAGUUUUUGAACCAUACUUGACAUUGUGAAUUGUUUAUUACUUUAACCUAGGAAAUCAUAUGACAAAAUCCAUUUAUGUUGCUAUUAUUAGAAUGAUCAUGAUGCCCUCAUGUUCGUAUUUUUUUGACACCUCUAUCUCUAAACAUGUGGACAUAUUUUUCGAUUUCGGCUUCCGCUUGAGGACAAGCGAGGUCUAAGCUUGGGGGAGUUGAUACGUCCAUUUUGCAUCAUGCUUUUAUAUCAAUAUUUAUUGCAUUAUGGGCUGUUAUUACACAUUAUAUCUCAAUACUUAUGGCUAUUCUCUCUUACUUUACAAGGUUUACCAUGAAGAGGGGGAAUGCCGGCAGCUGGAAUUCUGGCUGGAAAAGGAGCAAACGUUGGAAACCUAUUCUGCACAACUCCAAAAGACCUGAGACUCCACGAAACAACUUUUUGGAUUUAAUAAGGAUUUAUGGGCAAAAGAAAUAGGCCAGGGGGCCCACACCCUGUCCAGGAGACAGGGGGCGCCCCCCACCCCCUAGGGCGCGGCCCCUAUCUCCUGGGCCCCCUGGUGGGUUUCCGGCAUCCAUCUUCUGCUAUAUGAAGGGUUUUGUCCUGGAAAAAAUCGUGGGUAAGCUUACGGGACGAAACUCCGCCGCCACGAGGCGGAACCUUGGCGGAAUCAAUCUAGGGCUCUGGCGGAGCUGUUCUGCCGGGGACACUUCCCUCCGAGAGGGGGAAAUCAUCACCAACGUCAUCACCAACGAUCCUCUCAUCGAGAGGGGGUCAAUCUCCAUCAACAUCUUCACCAGCACCAUCUCCUCUCAAAACCUUAGUUCAUCUCUUGUAUCCAAUCUUGUAUCAAAACCACAAAUUGGUACCUGUGGGUUGCUAGUAGUGUUGAUUACUCCUUGUAGUUGAUGCUAUUUGGUUUACUUGGUGGAAGAUCAUAUGUUCAGAUCCUUUAUGCAUAUUAUUACUCCUCUGAUUAUGAACAUGAAUAUGCUUUGUGAGUAGUUACGUUUGUUCCUGAGGACAUGGGUGAAGUCUUGCUAUUAGUAGUCAUGUGAAUUUGGUAUUCGUUCGAUAUUUUGAUGAGAUGUAUGUUGUCUUUCCUCUAGUGGUGUUAUGUGAACGUCGACUACAUGACACUUCACCAUUAUUUGGGCCUAGAGGAAGGGAUAGGGAAGUAAUAAGUAGAUGAUGGGUUGCUAGAGUGACAGAAGCUUAAACCCUAGUUUAUGCGUUGCUUCGUUAGGGGUUGAUAUGGAUCCAUAUGUUUAAUGUUGUGGUUAGGUUUACCUUAAUACUCCUUUUUGUAGUUGCGGAUGCUUGCAAUAGGGGUUAAUCAUAAGUGGGAUGCUUGUCCAUGUUAGGGCAGUACGCAAGUGUCGGUCCACCCACAUAUCAAAUUAUCAAAGUACCGAACGUGAAUCUUACGUACGUGAUGAAAACUAGCUUGACGAUAAUUCCCAAUGUGUCCUCGGGAGCUCCUUCUUCAUUAUUAGAAUUUGUCCAGGCUUAUCCUUUGCUACAUAAAGGAUUGGGCCACCUUGCUGCACUUUAUGUACUUUAUUUACUUUUUGCUUGUUACUAUUUAUCUUAUCACAAAACUAUCUAUUACCUACUAUUUCAGUGCUUGCAGAGAAAACCUUACUGAAAACCGCUUAUCAUUUCCUUCUGCUCCUCAUUGGGUUCGACACUCUUACUUAUCGAAAGGACUAUGAUAGAUCCCCUAUACUUGUGGGUCAUCAUUCAUCGGGAGGGCUUGGACGGAACAGGCGAUGGAAACGAGGCCUGGCGUACCGCAGAACGGAGGAAACGGCCUUGUGUUCGACCGGCCAUGUUCGAAACGGGAUCCUGUUCAUCGGGAGGGGUCUGGGGUACCGCAAAACGGAGGAAACGGACCUCCUACGGUCGAAACGGGGGUCCUGUUGAUCGGGAGGGGUGUGGCAUACCGCAAAACGGACAAAACGGACUAGUGUUGGAGCGCUACGGUUGAAACGGGGGUCCUGUUCAUCGGGAGGGGUGUGGCAUACCGCAAAACGGGACUCCACGGGAUACUGUUCAUCUCCACCGUCGACCUCCUCCAGCCUCCACGGGCUACCGUCGAUCUCCUCCAGCCUCCACGGGCUCCUGUUCAUCCAGCCUCCACCGCGCGCUACUCCACCGGCUACUGUUCAACCACCCCUCCACAGGCACCCCUCCACCGUCUAUUGUUCAUCCAGCCCUCCACGGGGUCGUCCUAUUCAUCCAGCCCUCCACGGGGUCCUGUUCAUCCAGCCCCAACCGGCUCGAUCGAGGCAAUGCCACNNNNNNNNNNNNNNNNNNNNNNNNNNNNNNNNNNNNNNNNNNNNNNNNNNNNNNNNNNNNNNNNNNNNNNNNNNNNNNNNNNNNNNNNNNNNNNNNNNNNNNNNNNNNNNNNNNNNNNNNNNNNNNNNNNNNNNNNNNNNNNNNNNNNNNNNNNNNNNNNNNNNNNNNNNNNNNNNNNNNNNNNNNNNNNNNNNNNNNNNNNNNNNNNNNNNNNNNNNNNNNNNNNNNNNNNNNNNNNNNNNNNNNNNNNNNNNNNNNNNNNNNNNNNNNNNNNNNNNNNNNNNNNNNNNNNNNNNNNNNNNNNNNNNNNNNNNNNNNNNNNNNNNNNNNNNNNNNNNNNNNNNNNNNNNNNNNNNNNNNNNNNNNNNNNNNNNNNNNNNNNNNNNNNNNNNNNNNNNNNNNNNNNNNNNNNNNNNNNNNNNNCCCCCUCCCCCCCCUCGCAACGCUCACUAUUCAUCUAGAGAGGCAGCAUCGACCGGCUUCAGUUAGCAGCAGUAGCGAAGGAAUCGCUCGAUCGGGUUCAGUUAAUAGCCAUCGAUCGAUCACUCAGAUUCAGUAACGUGUAGCCUGCAGUGCAAUCGCUUGGGUUCAGUUAGAGCCCAAUGCCUCGCUCGGGUUUAGUUAGAGCCGAUGCCUCGCACACACGCGCGUACGUGUACAAGAGAAACGCGCAUCACUCGGCCCCCGACCACCCACCGUAACCGGGAACUCCCCGAAAUUUUCCUCGCCCUCUCUUCUACCAUGGUUUUUUCCGUCAUGGACGGCCCAAAGAAUGUCAUGCAGCUGCGUCUCCGGCGCGCCCAGGACGAAAAGCCCAUUUUCUGUCAUGAUUUUUUGUCAUAGAAGUAGGAGCCCACCACAUCUAUGAUGAUACCGGGUUUUGCCACAAUUAUCGUCAUAGAAGUGUCAUAUGUAUGACAGAAAAAAAGUUUCGUUCGGCCCAAAAUGUCACGGAUGUGUCUUUUUUUUGUAGUGCACAUUUUGAACCAAGUUGGUCUGACAGAGUUUAACCAUUCGGUCCCACCGAGUUUGGGAAUUUGUGUGUAACGGUUAGAUUUUGUGUGGAGGCUAUAUAUACCCCUCCACCCCCUUCUCCAUUUGUGAGAGAGCCAUCAGAACGUGCCUACACCCCCACUACUCAUUUUUUGAGAGAGAACCACCUACUCAUGUGUUGAGACCAAGACAUUUCAAUCCAACCACAAGAAUCUUGAUCUCUAGCCUUCCCCAAGUUGCUUUCCACUCAAAUCAUCUUUCCACCAUAGCCAAAUCUAUGUGAGAAAGUUGAGUGUUAGGGAGACUAUCAUUUGAAGCACAAGAGCAAGGAGUUCACCAUCAACAAACCAUCUAUUACCUUUUGGAGAGUGGUGUCUCCUAGAUUGGUUAGGUGUCACUUGGGAGCCUUGGUCAAGAUUGUGGAGUUGAACCAAGGAGUUUGUAAGGGCAAGAAGAUCGCCUACUUCGUGAAGAUCUACCCUAGUGAGGCAAGUCCUUCAUGGGCGAUGGCCAUGGUGGGAUAGACAAGGUUGCUUCUUCGUGGACCCAUCAUGGGUGGAGCCCUUCGUGGACUCGCGUAACCGUUACCCUUCAUGGGUUGAAGUCUCCAUCAACGUGGAUGUACGAUAGCACCACCUAUCGGAACCAUGCCAAAAAUCUUCGUGUCUACAUUGCUUUUGCUCCCUCCAAAGUCCUCUGUUUACCUUCAUAUGCAAUGAUUUACAUUCCGCUCCUAUACUCUUGGAAUUGCAUGUGUAGAUUGUUUGCUUGACUAAGUGCUAAGUUGCUAAAAUCUGCCAAGACUUAAAAUUGGGAAAAGGCUAGACUUUUAUUUGGUCAAGUAGUAUAAUCACCCCCCUCUAGACAUACUUUCGAUCCUACAAGUGGUAUCAGAGCUUUGGUCUCCAUUUGCCUUGAUUUCCAUUGCUUUGGUGAUCAUAGCCUUGGUUUCACAACCUAGGAGAGUAUGACGUCUAGUGAGGGAAAUUACCACCGUAGAGGUCCUUACUUUGAUGGCACUAAUUUUGCUAGUUGGAAGCAUAAGGUGAAAAUGCAUAUUCUUGGACAUAACCCCGCCGUUUGGUUUAUUGUGUGCAUUGGUUUGCAAGGUGAAUUCUUCGAUGGGAGAGAACCAAAUCGUGAAGCAACUGCAGAAGACUAGAAGAUGUUGCAAUACAACGCUCAAGCUUGCGAUAUCCUCUUCAAUGGAUUGUGCCCCAAAGAAUUCAACAAAAUCAGCCGUCUUGCGAAUGCAAAGGAAAUUUGGGAUACUUUGAUUGAUAUGCACGAAGGUACCGAGUCAGUCAAGGAAUCCAAGUUGGAUGUGCUUCAAAGUCAACUUGACAAGUUCAAAAUGAAGGAUGGUGAAGGUGUCGCUGAAAUGUACUCUAGGCUUGAUCUCAUCACAAAUGGGAUUGUCGUCUUAUGAAGUGAAGAGAUGACUGACAUAUUCAUCAUCAAGAAGAUCCUAAGAGAAUUGGAUGGAAAAUAUGAUACCGUGUGCAUAUUGAUCAAAAUGAUGCCCAAUUACAAAGAUCUCAAGCCAACGGAAGUCAUUGGAAGAACUGUUGCUCAUGAGAUGUCACUCAAGGAUAAAGAAGAGCUUCACAACAAGUCUAGUGGUGCACAUAAAGCCUCAUGUGAUGCUCCUGCAACAUUCAAGUGAAAAACAAGUCUUCAAUGAGGAAUUGAGCUUAAUGGUUAAGAACUUCAACAAAUUCUACAAGAGUAGAAGCAAAGAGAGAAGCUCCAAGUCAAGAUCCUACCAUGACAAAAGAUCUUCUAGUCGUGAGUGAAAUUACUACAAUUGUGGAAGACCCGCAAACUACUCUAAUGAGUGUACGGCUCCCUAGAAAAGAAGAGAAGACUCACCUAAAAGAAGUAGAAGAGAAGAAUCACCUCCAAGAGAGAGAAGGAGUAUAGAUGAUCGUUAUGAACGAAGAACCUCUCGCAGAAGCAAGGAUUCGGAAAGGAAGGACAAGUCAUCAAAGAGCUACACAAAAGAAAGACAUCAAGCUCAUGUUGGUGAAUGGGUAUCCGGUUCUGACUCCGACCACCACUCCAAGAGAAGUUAUCACUCCGACUCCGAAUAUACUCAAGAUGAGGGUGUUGUCGAUCUUGCACUUGUGUCAACCAACUCCUAUGACAUAUUUGAGUCACCAAAUGAAGGAAUUGGAAGAUGCUUCAUGGCUAAAGGCCCCAAGGUACCACACCCCGAGUAUUUUGAUUUCAACAGUGAUGAAGAUGACUUGCUAGGUGAUGAUGAUUUACUUGUUGACAAUGCUAGUGAUGAAAACUAUGAUGAAAUUGCUAUUAAUCAUGCUAAACAAGAUGAAACGAAUGAUAAUGAUAAGAAGGAGAUUGAGCGUCUAACUAAAGAACUAAACACUCUUAAGUUAUCUCAUGAAACUACUUUAGAAGAUCAUCGAGAACUUUUAAAAACUCAUGAGAAGCUACGCUUCGAGAAGCUCAACCUAGAGAAAGAACAUGGGUCCUUAAAAGCCAUCAAUGAUGAUCUUCGGAAGAAAAGUUCUUCUUACAUUGCCAAGCGUUUACUCUUGUCUACUUACAUGCCACAAGUAAAAUCUAGCAACAAGAGUAAGAAGAUUCUUCUUCUAGUAGUAACAAUAAUCAUGCUAAAUCCAAUAUUGUUGCUUCUAGUAGUUCUCUUGAUUCCACUAAUGAUUCUCUUAGCCAAGGUACACUUGAGCAAGAAAAUAGCUUAUUGAAGGGAAUUAUAGAGGAAGGUGUUUACAACAGCCUUGCCAGAAAUAAGCAAUUUGAGGAAAUUGUAUGCAAGCAAGGAAGGCACCAGAAGAAUCAAGGUGUUGGUUUUGGAUGGAAGUUCAAUGCCAAUGGAUUUGAGUGGGAAGAAGAUCAAUACCCCAAGACAGAGUUUGUUCCUCAACAAGAGAAGUAUGAUCCUACUUCCUUUAAGGGGACACAAGCUCAAGAUGAUCUUCCACCACAAGACCACAAGCUAAAAGGCAAGGACAAGCUUCAAGAGGAAAUUGGUGCAUUUGAAGAAGCUCCAAAGGCCUUGGUCAAGUGGUUUCCCAAGUCCACCUCAAGUUUUACUUCAUCAAGUACAUCUACAACCCCAAGGAUUCCCAUCAAGAUGAUGUGGAUCCCGAAGAAGAAGAACUAGAGAGUUCUUGAGGGUGACUUCGCCAACAUACUUCACUAAUAUUCAUAUUGGCAAGAACAAGUGCAAUCAACUUCCACAUCUUGCACUAGUUCAAGGAGUCACAAACUCUCUUAUUAAUAAGUCAAGGGACAAGGUAACCUAAUGUUUUCAUGGACGUCAUCGUGUAUGUACUUCACUCUAUCUCUAUGGAUACUAGUAGACUGCCCGUGUGUUGCCACGGGCUCUUGAAAUAGUUUGCAAGAGUUACAUGUUAACUUUCUAAGGCCUCACGCCGCCGUAGAUCCAGACCCCCGCCACUGAUUCCACCCCGCAUAGGCCGCCGCCUGCCGCCGUGCUGCCCCAUCACGUUCGCCUCCGCCCGGCCGCCGCGACCCUGCCCGCCUCCUCUCCGACCGCCUCCGCCUCCUGUCCAUCCUCCGCCCGGCCCCGCUUCAUCCGCCUCCUCUCCGGCCAUGCUCCGUCCGCCUCCUCUCCGGUCCGUCCGCCACCCCACUUCGUCUGCUUUCGCCCCGAGCCGCACGCCGCCGCCCCGCUCCGUCCGCCUCUGCCCCACACUGCACGUCGCCGCCCCGCUCCCCACUCGGCCGCCGCCUGCUCCCCGAUGGCGCCAAAGAAGACGCCAAAGGGAAAGUCCGGUUUCUUCGGCAUGAGGGCGAAGCCCUCCGGGAACUUCGGACUGGAGUUCUCUGACGCCAGGCAGCGUUGGUGGCUCGGCACGUAUCCCACUGUCGAUGAGGCUGCUCGUGCCUACGACGUGGCGGUGUGGCGUGCCGGUGGGCCGAAGACGGACCUAAACUUCCCGGAGGUCGAGUCCCAGCCGGUGGCGGAGUGGCUCGUGCCGCAGGGCAUCCAGAUGGAGGAGAUGCCGGCUAAGAAGGCGAAGAAGAGACAGGCGGUGUCGCUCCCGACGAGAGCGACGAGGCGGCGAUGGCUUGGUUUGCGCGAUUUGCAAUUUGUUGCAAAGCCAUCUCUAAUGAAAUGCUAUUUGCUACAUUUUUAAAUAGGAAAAUUAUUCCAAUCAGCUAGCAAUAACUCAACAGACCAAUCUCUAAUGAAAUGCUAUUUGCUACAUUUUUUAAAUAGAAAAAUUAUUUCGAUCAGCCAGCCAUAACUCAACAGACCAAUCUGAACCCACAUUUUCUAAAGUAAAGAAAUUAUUUCCCUUGAUAGAUCAAGAUGCCAAAGUGUCAUUUGCCCGACUGCUAUGUUCCUACACACACAGAGCAAAUUAUUUUUCAAAUCAAGGAAUUAAGAAAAGGAAGAAUAUCAUGAUGUCCAUGGCACUUGCCAGGUCUGCCAUGCUACCGUGGCAUCGUCUUUGUAGUCUCUACCCACAUGUCGAGUUGAGAAAUAAUCUUCAGAUAUACCCACUGCUAACACACUCGCGUACAUAAUGUCCCUUGGCUGAUUGAUUUGGCUGACUAUUAACACAAGCACACAACACACAAAAUCAGUCAAUGGCCAUAUGUAUGCAUUUUUUUACUUUAUUCCAAUUGUGAUGCAAUCGUGACACCUACUCGCCCCGUCCGCUCACCCGUCACGGUAAUUGCCACUGGUGCCAACCGCUCGACCUCGCCACCGCCACUCACCACUCAGUCUCCACCGGCUGCCCAUUGCCUCUUGCGCCACCCGUGCGCUCGCUCGGCUCAAUGUUGUUGAUUGGAAUGCGGGACUGAAGGUAAUCCAUGGACAGGUUUUAGUUUUGCUUGCAUCAAUCUUCGGUACUUGUCUAUCCAUCUAACGCACAAAAAAUCGACUCUCUGACAUAAAAGUGAUCUAACUCUAUUGAUGAGCACGACAGUACAUACCAUCCCAUCAUGAUGUUGCCAUCUCUCACACUUGAUGAUUACAUCUUGUUAUUUCUAACAUGUACACCAUCGGGCCAUUGCUUUAUUAGAAAUAUAUUUACACAAUAUGAUGAGAGCAACAUCAAGGAGUCGGAUGCUGGUGCACAGAUUCUCCUCAAAUUCCACAUGCAACCCUUGUAGAGAAGAAUGACAUAUUUUUCUUAGGUGAUUUUUGACCGAGCUCCUACAGAAAAAUUCAAACAAAUCAUGAGGAGCAUGGAGCCAAGCAAACUAAUCAGAGUAAAUCAUGAGAGGAGAAGCCUCUCAACCUACUACAGGGAAUCGAGUCAACAUUAAUUCGUGUAAGAAUUAAACCGUAAUGUAGAUCAACAACCCAGUAGUUGAUAAAAUAACCCUGACACAACCCAUUAAUACAAUAUAUGGUCACAGGAAGUAGAUUGAGAUUGUGCAGAUAUCAUGAUCUACGAACCGUAUCUACGAAUAUUGAUUGCAAAGUCACAAAUAGAACCUCCUCACAUCACAAAACAAAUGUUUCAUCAACAGAAACUCUAGCGAAUGCCAAUUGGAUUAUAUAAGUAAGAUAGAGACAUCGAAAAAAAGAAAAGAUAAUUCAAAGAGUAUAUAUUCUAUUUUAUUACUUGACAUCACAGAGAAUGCAAGUCAAAGAUAUUGCGAUACAUCUUACACUUCUAUAAAUUGACUGCAAGGCACAACCCCUAGCAAAAUAUACAGAAUGAAUUGCUCCUGUGAUCCAAGUAUUGCAUAAAUAGUUGUAUACAGACUAUUCAAUAGUGAGCAUAAACAUGGCAUGUACUAACAAAAUCCCUUUGCAAUGGAGCUUAGUCUGCAUGUCUAUCCGUCUUUUUGUAAAUCAGUUGUGGCCAAGAUGUGCUGACAGCUCACAAGCCUCUCCCCGUUUACCAAUAAAACCAAAGCAGCUCAAAGCAAAAAAAAGAACAUAGAUAUAUGAACCUGAUGCAAUUGCUUGUAACUCCAGAGUGUUGGUAGAGUCGAGAAGAGAACACUCAGCCAAUGUUACAGCAGAUCGAUCUGUAGUCUUUGUUAGGGACGGCACCAUCAUUAGAGGUCCCAAUUGUAAAUCAAUCUGCAAGAGAUGGAGAUGCAACUGGAAGCUUACGGAUUUGAUGCAUUAAAACAGCCAUGGCCCAUGGGCAGAGGAGAAGUGACGGCAGCUGGGGAUCUGACGUGUCACAGACAGCAUGGGUAGAGGAGAGGCGGCGGCAGAUCAAGCCUUGGGCGUGGCAGGCGGAAGCACACUCACCCCUAUUGCACCCUUCCUACUUCCCCGUCCUUCUUCUCCUACCUCUCCUCCUCCCUGGAUCCUCCUAUGUCUCUCUUUUCUACAAGAAAAAUCGAAGCCCCGCCAUGACCUUGAGCUCCCCCUACCAACCAUAGAAAUUAGAUAUUUCCUAAUUGUUUGCAUAAAAAACAUACUGGCUGCAAGAGAAUGAAAGACUAACCUAUUGAUGAGCACAACAGUACAUACCAUCCCAUUAUGAUGUUGCCAUCUCUCACACUUGAUGAUUACAUCUUUUUAUUUCUAACAUGUACACCACCGGGCGAUUGCUUUAUUAGAAAUAUAUUUACACAAUAUGAUCAGAGCAACAUCAAGGAGUCGGAUGCUGGUGCACAGAUUCUCCUCAAAUUCCACAAGCUGAAAUUGAAGAGAAAACUGAAAGAAAGCUAUUAGUAACACCAAUUUAACCAGACACACCACACCACUAAUGACAAAAUAAAAAUUUAGAAGUUCCUAAAGAGGCCUUAUAUAUAAGAAGUGCAAGAUAGUGAUGAAACUACCAAAGCCACCAGAUCUUAGUACAGAUUAGUUAAGUAGACACUACUAUUUAGUAAGGAUGAACUAUAUUAUGGAUUUGAUUGGAAUAAGAAAAUAUCCUAUAAUAGCAUAUUAUACAAAGGCACAUAAAACAAUAAAGAGAAGUAAAAGUGGUAGUGAUGAACUUAUAAUAAUAAUAAUAAAUAGAUAGCACAUGACUCUUUUUAUACGACUUAUCAGCAGAAUCAGUGAGCCACAAUGGAGUUUUCUUGGGCUCAGGCUUUCUGCACACUGCCAUAUAGACCAAGUCAAACAUGGGUGGGCGGCCAAGAAUGUUGGGUUAUAGUUUUACAGAUAAAGAGAGGAGAAAUCACUUUGGCCUAUGAGCACAUCAUAAGAGAAGGCAACAUCACACACACAUAAGUACUUGUAACUGAAUUUAAGGAGGGCACAAUAUGUUGACAUAGGUGUGCCUACCAAAAAGAAAUGUCUAAAUGAAGAAAAAUCAAGUGUUUAGUAAUAUAAUACUACAAUGAUGAUGCAGACUAAAGUCUAAAUCAUCAAUGGUAAAUCCAUGGCACACAAAAAUUCUUCUCCAUAAUUGAUUUGCUCUCUUCAUCCAAAUGCCCAAACUCAUCACAACAUAGCAAAAUAGCCUGAAUGGAAUAAACCAUAUCUGAACCAUCAUAUGCAAUACACGAACCAUGUACUGAACUUAAUUGAUGUAUUACUACUGAACAUAGCAGAUUAGUCUCUAUGUGCAUGUAUUACUAAUUUACAGCUGAGCAGCCACUCUAAUGUAAUGAACUUAAGAACUGUUUGUUCCUCUUAAGCAACCCUGCAGUUUUCAUGAAAACUUUGGUUGUAGUGGUCCUAAAAUCACAGAUACAUGUACCUCUACAUCCACUUGGAGCUUCUUUGCAGCUUCCUCUCUAUGUUGCUAGACCAAUCUGCAGAUAAAAAAGGAUAAGGUAAAUAAUUGUUGUUUUAUUUGCCAAUAAUCAAACAACUAUGAUAUAGUAAGAAAAAAGUUAGUGGAGGUAUGGGAAGGACAAGUAGUUCUACUACACACAGAUGAUUAGGGGUCAGAGGGAAUUCAAGAUAAACCAAG
rnacentral:lncRNA from 1 species